rnacentral:rRNA from 1 species
CAUGCAAGUCGAACGCCCCGCAAGGGGAGUGGCGGACGGGUGAGUAACGCGUGGGGACCUGCCUCGAAGUUCGGGAUAACCGCGGGAAACUGCGGCUAAUACCGGAUGUGGCCUGAGGGCCAAAGGGGAAACUCGCUUCGAGAGGGGCCCGCGUCCGAUUAGCUAGUUGGUGAGGUAACGGCUCACCAAGGCGACGAUCGGUAGCUGGUCUGAGAGGAUGAUCAGCCACACUGGGACUGAGACACGGCCCAGACUCCUACGGGAGGCAGCAGUGGGGAAUAUUGGACAAUGGGGGCAACCCUGAUCCAGCAAUGCCGCGUGAGUGAUGAAGGCCUUCGGGUUGUAAAGCUCUUUCGCACGCGACGAUGAUGACGGUAGCGUGAGAAGAAGCCCCGGCUAACUUCGUGCCAGCAGCCGCGGUAAUACGAAGGGGGCUAGCGUUGUUCGGAAUUACUGGGCGUAAAGGGCGCGUAGGCGGCUCUGAUCGUCGGAUGUGAAAGGCCUGGGCUCAACCUGGGAACGGCAUCCGAUACGGCGGGGCUUGAGUGUGGGAGAGGUUGGUGGAAUUCCCAGUGUAGAGGUGAAAUUCGUAGAUAUUGGGAAGAACACCGGUGGCGAAGGCGGCCAACUGGACCACAACUGACGCUGA